CUCCCUGGAAAGGCAGCGUGGCCGCAGAGACGCCAAGGCACGCGGAGCUGCGCUGCUCGAACGCGCUUCGGCGCGCUCGAGGGCACGUCAGCAGCGUGACCGCGUGACGGGCGAGGGCAAACGCUGCCCCGCGCGAGUCCCACCGCGUUAAAAGCAAAAUGAAGAACGAUGAGACCAGACGAAGAAGGCGGCAUCCCCCACCUCUCCCAGCGACCCUGCGGUGAGACAGAGCUGUCCGUCGGCAUCCCCUCUUCCAGCGUCCGCCGCAGGACACCGGCACGAAGGCAGAGCUUUGGGAAAUAACAUCCCACCCAAAGGAUGGAGACGUGAAUGCUUCACCACACUGUGAUGGCUUUCACUCUCUCAGUACCCUUGACAGAUACUCGCCUUCAGCCUGGAGAAGCAAUGGCUUUUGAGGGGACCCAACAACAGCCCCCCAGUACCUGCAAGGAGGUUAUGGAGAAGACAUCUUGACUGUGGUGCUUGGCAGGAGGAUAAGAGGCAAUGAGUGUAAGCUGAACGGUUCAGACUGGAUAUAAGGGAAAAAUCUCUCACAGAGGGGACAGUCGAGCGGUGGAACAGGCUGUCCGGGAAGGCUAGGCAGCCUCCAUGUGUUCCUGGAGGGUUUCAAGACCAGACUGGAUAAAGCCUGAGCAAUGUGGUCCGAUCUCAUAGCUGACCCUGCUUGGAGCAUAACAUUGGGCUAGAGACCUCCUGAGGUCCCUUCCAACCUGACUUAGCCUAUGAUCCCUGUGUCUUAUUUAUGGCCAUAAGAGGUGCAGUUCUUCCCUUCUCACUUCCCAGUGGAGUCUUGACUCAGUGAGGUGUUUUGUUCUGUAUAUCAGAUCUGAUAUCAGAGAAACUGAGCUAUUGCUCUCAGCUGAAUGACUUCCUUACGUUCUCUCAGGUAAUCGCUGGAAGAGCUGAGAAGGUACCCUUAGAUGCCAGAGACCCAUUUCUCCAUUCUUUCUAUAAGGAGGAAAGAUGUAUUCUUCUGCUCAAGGCACUAGGCUAGGAUUCAGUACUUUGAAUUAUAUGGACUUUAUUUGAUCUCUGUUAGCCUUACUUUCCCACCUCUGUGGCAUAGGUGUUGCUCCCUUUCAGCCAGAUUAUUCUUGUCAAUUUAGAUCAGAGAACUGACUGCAAGGUAUGGUUUUCCUUACAUAUAUCUUCUGCCUCAGAGCUACAAAUAAGGCUGACCUGCUCUUCCAGAUUGAAUGCACCAGUGCCCAAAUCUCCAUAAAUGACAUUAUAGUCAAGCCAGUCUCACAGACACACUGUAGAAAGCUGUCCUUUUAACCCGAGCAUGAGGUCCCACUGGUUUCAGGGACUGACUCUAGUACUUAUCCAGAUCCACAGUGAGCUAGCUUACUUGCAAAGAAAAGGGUCCCUUUCAGCAUCAGUGUUAGACUGGGUUAUGUGUCAUAUGAAUGAAGUAGUAGCAACCUGAUCUUUCAGCUACACUGACCUAACAGGAGGCUGCUGCUAAAAGGUGAACCUUCCCACAACCAAUAGAUGUGUACUCCCUUCCCAUUCCUUAUGUGGGAUCUAGUGACCAUCUGACCCCAGUCAGCCAAUUAAUCUGAUGGAAAAAUAACACCACAAAAAAUAAUGUGUUUUCUACUGGACAUAGAGCUGAAUUGGUCCACUUGUGAUCACACAGUUGCAAGGUCCAGGGAGGCAGAAACCUGAAAGUGAGGGAAAGCAGAACUACUCCUUCCAGCAGCCAUCCAUCAUUAGAUCGACUUAACUGGUACCAACAAUCAGAGGCCAUAACAUGAGCCAAAUCAGAGAACUAAUCCAUCUGAAAUUAAACCGUUAAAAAAAAUUUCAACUAUGUUAGCUGACUGAGAUGGCUGGUCGCAUGAGACCUACAAAAGACAGAAAAGGGACAGGAAUGCCCUCUGCAGUGGUAGCCAUAACUUAGAUCAAAAGCGUGCUGCAGGCCCCUCAACCCCGAAGUGCUAGGAAGAUCCAUGAGCCCCAAUUUGCAGCAUAACUCCAGUUCCAGUUGCAAGAGCAAGUGCAAUUAUACGAUAAACAUGUUUUAGCCAAGGCUGUACUCAUAAUCAGAUACAAGGAACACAAAGUACGUUGGCUGCUCUAUGCAAUGCCUUGUGUCCCAAACAUUUCUAUUAUUUCAUUUGAUUUGUGCCUCCAACUGCCCUGCAAUGUAUUUUUGACAGCUGUGUUGCCUGGCAGCCACUUUGUCACAGCUCAAGAGGCAAUUAUGAAGAGAGGUGUAUCUGCACUACCCGAAAAGAUAAUGGAUCUUUAGUGUAUAGGCUUCACAAAAAGACCAUGUUCUCUGUCCAAGUCUCCAGGCGCUGCUGUAAUACAAGCAACAACAAGACAAUUCAAUAAAGUGUGGCUUAAUGUGAUAAACUGGAGUAUUACCAGAAGUAAUGUGAUUACGUUAUGAAAGGGUGAAAUUAUGCUCAUGCUCAGAAAUCGCUGUUUGUUUGUUUUCUACCAAUCAAGAUAAGUAUAACUUGUGAAUGGUGUCUAAAGAGAAACAAAUAUGCUCCUGAGCAUUUAAAAAUAAGCAGCUACUGAAUAACAUAAUUCAGGCAACAAUUGUCAGGAAAAGGGAUUAGAUAGUAGUUAGGUCUGUCUGUCUCUAGUUUGGAUUGUUCCAGUUUUUGGAAGAUCAUGGUAGGAAUGGUCUAAAAUCUUGUAUUGCAUUUUUAUAAAACCACAGAAGACCUUUUAUAGCUUGAUGAGUGAGUCUGAUACCCAGUCUUUUUCCUUAGGGAAAAGGGGAAAGGGAGUUCAAAACUAGAUCUGGUCAGGAAGUACUUGACAGAACAGUUUCAUUUUAAAAGAGUCAGUAUGUUGCACUCAAAAUGUUUUGCUGAAAAUAUCUAGAUUUCAAUGAACUUUCACUGAACCCGGAGCAGGGCUCUGAGGGAACCUGGUCUGUGUUCUUGGCAGGGCUGGCCCAAGACUGACGGUGAUUUCCUGCCCCUCACCGGCAUCAGCAGUGAGGACAAGAAGGACAUCACUUCCACUGACCAUUUGCCAGAGCUGAGGAACAGCCAGUUCUCCACAAUGUUUAAACACUUUAACACUUUUAAUUUCAUCUGAUAUAUAAACUAUUUCCAGUGCUUCUACCAGAAUACCUAGACUUGGAUAUACCUCCCAGAGCAGAGUAUGGACAAGGUGUUGUUCUCUCACUUGCAAGAAAGUUCCUCUAUUUAUUGGAACAUAUAUGUUUUAAAAAAUACAGGAUGGAGUCUUAAGACUAUGUAAGUCUACUGCAGCUUUACAGAUGUGGGGCCUGGGAGUGUCUGCUUUUUAUAAAUGUGUUUGUUUUUCUUUAACAUUGUAACACAGUCAAAAGAAAUGCAGUAAAAAUAACACAAGCUGUUUCAUGCCUGA